rnacentral:rRNA from 1 species
GCGCACCAGGCGCGAAAACUUCACACUGUGCGAAAGCACGAUGAGGGAAUCCCAAGUGCUUGCACGUAAGUGUAAGCUGUUUCUCUGUCUAAAACGCAGAGAGAGUAAGGGCUGGGUAAGACGGGUGCCAGCCGCCGCGGUAAUACCUGCAGCUCAAGUGGUGACCGUUAUUAUUGGGCCUAAAACGUCCGUAGCCGGUUUAAUAAAUGCCUGGGGUAAAUUGUGUAGCUUAACUAUACGAAUUCCGGGUAGACUGUUAAACUUGAGACCGGGAGAAGUUAGAGGUACUCCUGGGGUAGAGGUGAAAUUCUGUAAGUCCUAGGGGGACCACCAGUCGGCGAAGGCGUCUAACUAGAACGGGUCUGACGGUGAGGGACGAAGCCCUGGGGCGCAAACGGGAUUAGAUACCCCCGUAGU